GAUCACCGAACGUUGCGGGGCUCCGUAUGUUGAACUCGGACCGCUCGGAUAACCUCCACCGCCGCUGUUGCCUCCUGUGCUCGGAGGAAAGUACGAAUCGACUGGCGGUUCCGGUGCGGGCUUUGCAAGACAGCCCAAUGUACACCCCACGAUCAGAAUCAACUGUUGGGUUUUUAUAAAACAAAUGACCCUUUAACUCUUUGAUUAUUGAAAUAUUUUUUGGAAUAUUUCACAUUUUAAAGUGAGCAGUCGAAUCAGAGCACGGAAAUGGGUAAUCGCGACACUGCUAAAAUCUUAUUUGCUCGACUGCAAUACAAGAUAGUUGAUAUUUUGCGUAAUUUUUUUACUGCAAUGAAAUAACUAAUAAAUCUCGUCAUUUUCCCGACUACUUUCAACGCGAAUCGAGAAGAUUUCGUCAAAAAAGUGCUUGCAUCGAAAUUUUUUAUCAUUUUUCCAACUCUUACGAUCUGUUGCAUUAGCGGAAGCGUCAGCGGGAUUGGAUUUCUGAAAAACGGUGAGUAGAUGAAAAGUUAUGAAAAUUUCACUGCCAAUUAUGGACAAUUCGACGGUGAAGUUUUGUGGAAAUUUUUUCGCUUCAAGCUUAUUGUCGAUGUCUACCUCAGCGACGAAGGGAUUUAACUAAUUCAGUAUAUUAUUAUUGCGCACGAGAGAUAUUCGUUUAGGAAACGUGAAAUGUGACACAGACGUACCGUAGGAUUGAGCAAUACGUAAAAAUCGAGUUAUUCAUUUAAUUUCAAUGACUGAUGGUCAUUCGAAGGUAUGAUUAAAGUGAAUUAUAUAAGGCCCAAAGAUGGGAAGGGGAAAAUCUCACGGAACAAAGAAAGGAUCGUGUGUAUCGUGUGAAGGAAAGUUGUACUCGAAGAUGAAGCUGCUCCCGAUGCUACUCGGAAAAAAAAGAACAAAAAAGCAGAUCGAAGGGUGGACGACCUCCGAGCGCAAAGUAAUUUCAACGCUUUCGCGAUUCACCUCGAUAUUCGUUCUUCGUGUUUAGCGCUCACCGACUGUGGAGAGAGUAAAUUGAAAUAUGGAACGAAUUGAAGUAGCUGAUGCAUCGUUACAUUGUCCGUUGAGGGGGAGAAAAAAAAUUCUGAAGGAACGAAAUUCAAGUGCCUGUCCUUUCACGUCGAAGCUUCAGUUCAAAAGAAAUUAAUCAAUGUGAAUAAAAAAAUGUUCAAAUUUAUUUUUCGACCAGUCAAAUUCCAUCGAAAUUACCAAAGUUUCGAUUCUUCAGAGUUCAAUUAUAAUCUCGCUCGUGCGCGAAUUAAUAAACAAAAGCCCGAAAAAAAAAAUACGGUCGAAUAGAAAAUUUAAAGUUGAUUUUGACGUCGAAACGACUGACCGACAAAAUUGUAACUUUCGUUUCUCUUCGUGUAAAAAAAGGAUAAAAAAAAGCGCGUUUGAAGCGAAGAAUACCCGAACAAUUUUGACAUCGUCGGGGUCCGCGCAGCGGCAUAAUUAUCGUUGGGUUGCGCGUUCGUAUAUUCGCGAAAAUACUCGUGGUGGCACAAAGUGCGCUAAUUACUUCCUGUAGAAAGCAUCUCGAGCGAGUGCGCUCGACUUAAUUUUGUAUUUUUAUUAUUUCUUCUUAUUUGUCUUCAUUGCUCACGACUCCGUCGGUGUUCGCCUCGGCACAAUGAUCAUCAUCAUCAUUUUCAUGAUUAUCGCGGUGCUCGAGAUUUCGUCAAGUGCGAAGAAAUUAACCGAGGACCGACGUGGAAACGAAAAAAAAAAGCAAUCGUCGACCAAAGUACAGGAAUAAAAGGGAAAAAAAUGGACCGAAAAAAUGUCUGGUGACGAAGCGAAACAGCGAACCGUACGAGGAGAUGAAAAAUCGAAGAAAAAUAGAAAUUGGCGAAGGUGGAAAGUGGACUGGACGAUAAUCACUUACGAUGGAAGAAGACUGCAUUUUUGCGAGACACUAAAGGCCGAACGUUCAGCGACGUAAAAGCAAAUUUUCGAUGAUGUUGUAACACAAACUUGCUUAUUAUUUGUUUAUUUAACGAAAACGGAAGAAAUGCGAUUCCGAAACACCGGAAUAAAACAACGGAGAACGAACCGAUCGACGAACCGGAUUAAGUAACACUCGCUCUUACUGGAGCACUCGUACACCGGAGUGUGUGCUCUACUGGCGUUGUCUUUGAAACUUUUAUACCUCGACCCCCCCUAGAUCGAGAAUUUUCUCAUCGUGUGUGAGUCUGUAAAAAGGGGGCAAUGCGUAUACACAGUCUGGGAUUAUAUAGAGCGAUGGUGUGGUUCGGGUCUGCUCCACCUCGAAGAAACGAUCGUACGUACGUACUCGAAGAAACUCCUUCACCUGUCCGUCCCUCGUACGAGCCAAUGCUCUUUCCCAUUCGAUUCGGACGUCGAGUUUGUACAUACGAGUCAUCAUUAUCGUCCUCAUCAUCACCACCAUCCUCGAGAACGACCUCCGCGUAUUCGUAUUAGAUCGAAAAGAGAUGCCCGGAGAAAUAUAGUGGGGGCAGGCCCGCGGUGAGAGGUUUUUCGACGCUCGCGGAUAUGGUGAAUCCAGUGCGAAUGUAACGAAAGUGCAUUCAGCAGGUGGAACGCACUAAACGUUUCUGAAACGCGUGAUCCCGGACAGCGGGCACACUCGUUGGCAACGAAUCUUCGCCUUUGGCAAUCUCCAGUUAAAGUAUAAUAAAAAUUACCGUCUCGGGCUGAGGUAUUAUGGAUAAAUAAAUAAACAUUGAGAUGGGGAAGGAAUGUGCCAGAGAGCGAGGACACUGCAGCGUCACGUUUCCGGGGACAUUAUUACUUUGAAAGGGUUUUCGAAGAAUUAACGGAGUGUCGGAGGAUCGGUGAAAAAGCGACGAUUUACUGGUAGCGAUUACGACUGCGAGGGAAGGCUCUUGGGCGGAACGUAUGGCGAGGAGUUUGUCCGCUCGAUAGUCGAAGAAUCUUGGAGGACUGUGGGAUACGCCAUUGUGCUUUCCCUCGUCGUAUCGAAAGGUCAGUCUCGUUAACUUUCGUCACUUUGAGUCGUGAAGCGUCCUCAUUUUGUCGUCCAAGAGGCAAAUAAUUCAAGGAUUUUGGCGUGUAGAUGUGAAUCGCGCCUGGUUUUCUCGUCAAGUUUAAUAACGUUGUUACGAGAAGGAAUCGGGGCUUCGAGAUCGAAAGGCAAAGAGGUGCCAAUAACUGGGGGCUCGAUGUUCCAGGAAAACUGACAAUAAUCUCAGAGCUCCUCGUCGCGUUGAUGUAGUAACACAUCGCAGCUCGUUUUGCCGGGUUGCGCGAAACAAAAAAACGUCGUACACGAAACGGAGCAUCAAUUGUAGGGAACACCUUCGCAACCGCAUAUGCACAGGAUAUUACGAACCCGCAGCGAGCGAGCAUUAGAUCCGAUCUAAAUGAGAUACGUGAGGACUGACAAAACACUUUUGCGCUCGGACCCCGAACGCACUUUUCAUGGAGCACAAUGAAGCUACGAAAUCAUUUUAAUAACGCUAAUUUCGUGAAAAACCAAUGGACAAAGGGCGGGGAAGAUGAAAAUAAUGGGCCAUCGGAUCAGCAAACGAAUUCGGAGUUUCUAGCGACGUAAUAAAAAUGAGAAAAUUCUUUGCGGGGAUAAAUACAGCGAUGCAGUCGAAACAGAAAGAUUCUCGGAGCUCGAAGUGAAUUGCCGUUAAGAGUUUUGGAGAAAAAAAAUACCAAAAAGUGCGACAUUCGCUGGAGAAUCCGUCACGGGAAAUGGACCGCUCCCGAUUGCUGAACGACCCUAAAGAACAGCCACGGAAACUCCGAGGACGAGGCUCCAGAGAUUCGACCUGGAAAUGGUGCCUGCGGUCUGCGACUCGAUUGCCUCGGUCCACGGAUCGAUGACGAUCGCUCUGGCCCAGAGCGGGCUCCGCUUCGCGUGUACGAGAAAGGUCCAGAUUCGAAAAUGAAUUCGAUUAUCGCAACGAGUCGAGCGGCUCGGCUGAUCCUGCUUUUUUAUUCUUCGGCCCGUUCGAUCGAGUGCGUGCAGUAUCCUGCGAGUAGAAAGGCACUCUCGGCUCGACAGAAUCUGCAGCGAUCCUGGCUCGUCCUCUCUCCAUCACCGUUAUUUCAGCCGGUUCGUUUACCGGCAGCCGGUUUACUUACGAGAGAGCCUGAUGGAUCGUCCGAACGAGCUUCUCCCACCAGACCGAAUGUGAGCUUGGAGAAAAGCCACCGCAGGAAGCUGGGGCCGGCGUGCGAAUCCUCCCGCCGAGUCUCCUGCUGAUCCUGAUGCGAUUCUUCUUGCUCGUCCUGAGGAUCGGGCAGGAAGGGAGCCAAGCCGCCGAGGUCGUCGAGGAAACUGAGGUCGAUGCCUUCCGUGGUGGUCUCUUGGCCGAGGAACACAGGAAUCGCGGGACCGAUGUAGUAUCCUGGGGAUGCGUCAUCUUCCUGGAGGCUCCUCGAGUCGCUUCCUCCGGCAUCCCCGUCCUCGCGGCGCUCUCCCGCUUCCGCUUCGUCAGGCUCGGGUUUUCCGCUGCUUCCAGGAAUUUUGUAGAUCCUCCAGAUCGUGUGCUCGCUCGGAUCGACGUCCAGUUGUUCCGGGGGAACUUGGCUAUUGUAGGGAAUGAAUUUCCAGGUCUGAGCGGGUCCUCCGGAGGCGGAAGAGUCUCCGGCGAAGGGCCAGAAAGUCUUCCUCGAUCUUUCAUUCCCUGGCGAAGAGUUCGCAGAGAUCGUCAACAACGCUGCGAUACCAAGAGCUCGAUAGAUCAUGGAAUUUUUCAUCAUCGACGAGGGACGCUCGACGUCCGGAGAAGAAGGCACACGCGUAACGAGCUAUUCGGCCAGACUGGCCGAAUUCUAGUCCGGAAAGAGUACUUAAGGAGGCCCUCCGAGCGACGAUCGACAAAUCGACGAAUCGUCGAGUUUCCCCGAGCAACCGCCCUAAUGGGCAUCGUUAAUCGGAAAAUGAAGCGUUCGGGGGCAUUCACCGCGUUUAAUAUUCCAGUCGAAAGCAAAGCACGAGAAGCUUCGAGAACCGCAUUGUUCGAACCACAGCGGUGUUUCUCAGAUUCGCUACCGAUUUUAAUCGAGAAGACGUUCGUUUAUCAGCCGCACAUAUCGAAAGUGUUGCGCGGACGUACGAGGAAAUAAGUGUUCGUUUCUCGUCAGUCUGCUACGGACUUCCAGAUGAAUUACGCUCGCGUACGGACUUCCUCUACCGCAUCGGUAGAAGCUGCACACCACGAAGAAGCCCCAGCACGUCAGCCGAGGACCUCGAAACGUGCGUGUAAGCAGCUGUUACGUCUUACGAGAGUGCAUAGCUUCGAGACUCCGUACAUACGAAAUAAACGGUUUUGCUGCGCGGCACGACGAGAUUCCUACUUAACAGGAAGAUCGCUCUCGCGGGUGAGAGUGGAUCCGAGAGUUGUACAUGUGAGAGAAAAACACGGGCGGCCGGGAAUAAGAAAGGGAAAAACGGUGGAUCACGAGGAUUCGAGCGCGGGUGAAAGCGGGCCCGUUGGAUCAAAGGUCGCGACACCUGCUCGCUCGGACAAUCUCAAUAAGAAUUCCUCCUGCCAUUAUCUUCCUUGUACUCAAAUCGUGUGUAUAAACUUGGAAACUCAUUUAACACGAAUUAAGAAGAUUCUCAGGACUCGAGCGUUCGUUUCGUUGUUGUUGCUGUUGCUGUUACUUUUCUCCAUUCAAUUAAAUAUUGGGCAAUCCCUCA